ACGGGUGAGUAACACGUGGGUAACCUGCCUCAUAGAGGGGAAUAGCCUUCCGAAAGGAAGAUUAAUACCGCAUAAGAUUGUAACAUGAUACAGCAAUUAAAGGAGCAAUCCGCUAUGAGAUGGACCCGCGUCGCAUUAGCUAGUUGGUGAGGUAACGGCUCACCAAGGCGACGAUGAGUAGCCGACCUGAGAGGGUGAUCGGCCACAUUGGGACUGAGACACGGCCCAGACUCCUACGGGAGGCAGCAGUGGGGAAUAUUGCACAAUGGGGGAAACCCUGAUGCAGCAACGCCGCGUGAGUGAUGACGGUCUUCGGAUUGUAAAGCUCUGUCUUCAGGGACGAUAAUGACGGUACCUGAGGAGGAAGCCACGGCUAACUACGUGCCAGCAGCCGCGGUAAUACGUAGGUGGCAAGCGUUGUCCGGAUUUACUGGGCGUAAAGGGAGCGUAGGUGGAUAUUUAAGUGGGAUGUGAAAUACUCGGGCUUAACCUGGGUGCUGCAUUCCAAACUGGAUAUCUAGAGUGCAGGAGAGGAAAGUAGAAUUCC
rnacentral:rRNA from 1 species